ensembl:snoRNA Small nucleolar RNA SNORA81
ACCUUCUUCUACAAAGCGCCAUGCCAAAAUCAUCAGGACUAAGCCUUCGAGCUGAGUUCUGGUGGUCAUGCUAGUGUGGUAUUUCAAAGAAGGGAGAGCAAAGACACAGUUUCAGAAAUGAGCCUGGGGCGGACCUCUUUCUUAAUGUCCAAUGUCCUAGGUCUCGAGAUUCUGUGGUACAAGU